AAGCUUUUGAGGUUCUUCUAAUUUCUUAUUUCUGCAUAUUGAAUGGGCAAAUGACAAAUUGGGUGUUGUUUGCUUGGCAUUUAUAUAGCUUGUUCUUUUUUUAAAAAGAUAAGGAUCAUCUGAUUUUGCUACUCGAAAAGAAUGAAAGCUUAAAAGUUUGAAUGAUGUGUUCUUAUUUGCAUUUUGGUUCCGAGCUCGUUAUUGAGUUUCUUUGAAUUGCUGAAAAUAGUGCCCAAUUGAUGGGACUUCUCUCAAGAAUG
rnacentral:misc_RNA from 1 species